rnacentral:lncRNA from 1 species
CGCUAGAGACUCUGCCUCCUAAGAGACACGUUAAGCUGACUCUGUGUCUCUGUCAUUCAUCUUCACUCCCCAGGUAUACUUGAAAUCAAAUCAAAAGACUUCCAGGGGCUGGGGACUUAGCUCAGUGGUUCUGGAGCCUGCCUUGCAAGUGCAAGGUCCCUAGUUCGAUCUUCGGUACAAAAAAAGAAAAAGGCUUCCAUCCUUCCCCUCUGAGACCAGCUGUGCUGUCCUCUACAUGGGAUUUCUUCUCAGGGAGGCUCAUCCCCUGAGCUGGACAGCUCCCAGCUGACUGCCUCCCUGCUCAGUGGCAGCAGCAGAAAGACAGAAUGAAAAAAUCUUUAAAAUCACAAGGAAGGCGGCGGCAGAGGUGAUGGCGGCAGCAGCACCACCUGAGAACAGAGCUGGGCCCGGGCAUGGUGGCGCGUUCUGCACUGUGAGAGCGCAGCGGCCGCUGGAUCGCCAUGCGCCAGCGGCUCCAAAGCUCGGGCCUUUGGCCCUUCGCCUCGGCGACGGGAGGCAGCGUCCCGGAGACGAGACUGCGGGCGCUGAGCAAGCCUUGGGCAUCGUGAGGCUGGAUCUCCCCCGCAGCCACGUGGAUUUCCCUGUGAUCCUCUAUGAGCUGUGAGCCUGGUGGGUGAAGACACAAGCACCCCCUCUGACCCAGCAAGAAACUUCCUGUCACAAGGUGUAGCUUCCAUUGAGCACCCCAGGCUGGGGCCACAGCCCUUCGUGAACUCUGUUGGCCCAGAACCUUCAGCUGUAAGCAGGGCAGCCCUCGGUAUAAAUCGGGUAUUGGUUUGUGUGUGGACAAGAGAGGUUUGGUGUCUGGCAAAGGCUAACGGGAGAGUUACCAGCAGAGCUUUCCCAGCCACAGGGCAUCUGCCAGUCAGGAAUGUGUGGUUCCUGGUUCCUUGCCUGGCUGGUCUGCUUUCUUCCAAGCUUGCCUAGGGCCCAGCCUCACUAAAAGCUACAGCACUUUCCAUGCAAAAUCUGCCUUCUUCCAGCCCCUGGACUUUGGGAGCUCUACACAAGUGGGAACUUCCUUUCCCUCACUUCCUUUACCCCCUAGUCAGAGCAUUUCAGCCAUUUCUACCUCUAUACUUCCUGAUUGGACAGAGGCUGAGGACAGCACCCACCUGAUGCUUCCCACCUACCUGCCAUUUGUUCCCACUUUCACAUGGACAGUUUGCUGGCUGUUAACUGGAAUGAGGACUGGUAUGGGUAGCUUCUCCUUUUCCCAGGGCUUGGCUAAUUGCUCCCCAGUGCAACUAGUUAUUGCCCUCUCCUCAGUUAAGAGGUACAGGCCAGAGUCAGAACAGGCUAUGGGCGUCUGUGCCUAUGGGAAGUUGCCCCAAGCCUAUUCUAACCGCCUCCCCCCUUGCCUUUGCACCAGCCAUUCCCCCUACUAUCCAGUUGGGAGGGUCCACUACCCUGUGAUGAAGACCAACAUACUAGGGCUGGUGCCUGUAGCGCUAUGAGGAGACCACCACUCUUCUGCCACAAUAUCUUCACCCCUUCUGGAUCAGUCAAGGGAAAGUACUAGGGCCCCUUGAAAAGCACAGAAAGGAGGGCAAAAACAUAAAAGGGAAUACUGUACUUAAAGUGUGAAGAUUUGUAAAUAGUCUAGUCCAUGCUGAUGUUAGGGCAGAGUCUGAUUUCUACACAGAAAUGACUUUCUUUUUCUUUUAAUUUCUUAUUGUGCAAGUUCUAUGCUUCUAGCAUGGGACAUGGCUUGGGGAUGAUGCUCCCCAGUAUAGGAAGAUUGUUGUGCUAUUUGUUCGAUUUCAAUAAAAUUAUUUGUAGAUCCUGUAAAAAAAUAAAAUCAGAAGGAAAAAAAUUGUUUAAAGUUGCCAUGGCUACCAAGUGAAAAGUGCAACAUUCUGUAGCAAAUUCUGCAAACUGUAAGAUUUCAUUAUUAAAUACUUUGUUUUCAAUAAAAAACUGAUGUUAAUGUUUAUAAAAUAAUUGAAGAAAUGUUCAAAGUGCUCAUUGUCACUCCUUGUGUUUGAGAAAGAAGUACAGCAGUGAAAUUGUUUUGGAAAAUAUAAAAGUUGUUGGUGAUUUGGUUUUAAGUUGUUAUCUCUUACAUCUUCACGUCACUCAGUAAGCUUUUCUGCUCUCUGUCAACCUUAAAAUGCAUAAACAUCACAAAUAUGAGAAAUAUAUAUCUUAUUUUGAAUAAAAAUUAGUAUUGCAAAAAUUAGUGUUGGGCAUUUUUUUAUAUUAU